rnacentral:rRNA from 1 species
AUUGAACGCUGGCGGCAUGCCUUACACAUGCCAGUCGAACGGCAGCACGGGUGCUUGCACCUGGUGGCGAGUGGCGAACGGGUGAGUAAUACAUCGGAACAUGUCCUGUAGUGGGGGAUAGCCCGGCGAAAGCCGGAUUAAUACCGCAUACGAUCUACGGAUGAAAGCGGGGGACCUUCGGGCCUCGCGCUAUAGGGUUGGCCGAUGGCUGUUUAGCUAGUUGGUGGGGUAAAGGCCUACCAAGGCGACGAUCAGUAUCUGGUCUGAGAGGACGACCAGCAAAACUGGGACUGAGACACGGCCCAGACUCCUACGGGAGGCAGCAGUGGGGAAUUUUGGACAAUGGGCGAAAGCCUGAUCCAGCAAUGCCGCGUGUGUGAAGAAGGCCUUCGGGUUGUAAAGCACUUUUGUCCGGAAAGAAAUCCUUGGCCCUAAUACGGUCGGGGGAUGACGGUACCGGAAGAAUAAGCACCGGCUAACUACGU